UUUUCCCGAACCCUAAAAAUAUUUUCCUCCUCUCUCGCUCCCGACGCCGCGAUUUCCUCUUCUCGGGCGGAAACAGAGAAAAGGCUAGGGCACGUCUCCGGCGCCGGCGAGUGGCUAACUUUGAGGAUCUCCUUCACCUUCGUGAUCCCCUCGUCGAGAAGAGUAAGUAAGCACGAAGGAAAGGUUGAAUCUUCAAGUUCUCCGAACCCUAGAGGCUUUCUUUUCCGGCUGUGAGUUCAAGAACGGCAUGAUAAAGGAAAGGAAAAGAUCUAGCAAGGAAGGUGACAAGGUGGUGUGGAUGGUGUGUGAUGCCAGGACUAUGGAAGCCUUGGGACUUAGUUAAGGAUAUGUCUAGAUUAAUUCUUUAUUUAGGAUGAUAAGAAAAUUAGGAAGUAAGAAGUUGUAUUUCAUUAUUAAGUUUCUGCAUUUUAGUAAUUGGGAUGAUAUAUGUUAUUUUGAUGUUAUUAGGACAUAGUAGAUGAUUUGGGAUCUUGAGUAAUAUAGUUCUCUUUUGUUUUGGAUUA